rnacentral:misc_RNA from 1 species
UUAUCCGGGCUUGGGACCGGCUACUUCCAAGACACUCACGUGUGAAAUAAAUAGUUAAGUCCAUAGAAUCUGUCCUUGGGUAUUGAUACAUUAGGCCCAAUCAAUAAGGGUCCUAAGAUGGAACCUUUCCUCACAAAUAAAAGGCAUAUUUACCCUUUGUUGUCUUUGCUUUUCCAAAAGACAACAAAGGGGCUUAAGUUUUAGCCCAAAUCAAUCCUAUAUUCCUUUCAAACUUGCAUAUCUAGAACAUAGGUUCAUAAACCAACAUAUCACAUGCAAUAAGGGUCCUAGGGCCACAUGUUUCUAAAGCUAGCAUGACUGAAUCCAUUCUUAUAUCUUCGUCUCGAGUCAAAAAGUUCUCCCAUUGAUCUUAAG